CCGCUUCAGUUAAAACCAAGUAUAAUCUCUUAGCUAGCUAACAUCUCUAGUUUCAGUGACUUCAAAAUUUUUUGAGUCGAAGUCAAAAAAAUGAGAUUUAGUUAUUACUUACUUUAUCAGUCUAUGUUUCUAAAGUUAUUUUCAUAUUUACUUUCGCAAACCAAACAACUGAUAAAAUAUCACUUUCUAAAAGUAUUACUUGAUGCUUCAUUUUCAACCAACCAAACAUGCCAUUAAAAAAAAACUCGAAAAUCAACAACUUUAGCCUAA
rnacentral:lncRNA from 1 species